AUGCAAUAAAAAUCUUCUACGUCUAUCUGUAUCUCUCUUCCUCUCUAGCUCCCCACCAAAUAUAAUUAUAUAUAUAUAUAUAUAUAUAUACAUAUAUAUACAGCCAAUUGAAUUUAAUCAGUAAAUCUUAGACAGCCAGAAGAAACAAUGAAAUCGGUUAUCAGAGGUUCUUCAUCAUUUAUUGUUCUCAUCAUCAUGAUCAUGACCAUCCUCCAUGCUCAAGUGAUCCUAUCAGAUGAUCAGUACUUGAAUGAUUGCCCAUGGCGCAACAGGAAGCUGCAAAAUGUUGGUGGAAUCACAGUGAAGAGAAUACGGAUAUGCCGGAGUCUUCCACGGCACAGUCCAGGAGGCGCGGUGCCAGCGCCCUGCAUUCCUCCCAGGCUCUGAGAACAUAAGUGUGCGCGUUUUUUAUUGAUCCAGUCUUUCAGAUGUGGUGCUAUCUAAUCGGAUGUAAUCUAGACAGCAGUUGCAGAUGAAAUAUAUCCUAAGUACUUAUAAUAUAUACACACAUACGUGCA